rnacentral:rRNA from 1 species
CGCGGGUAAUACGUAGGGGGCAAAGCGUUGUCCGGAUUUAUUGGGCGUAAAGCGAGCGCAGGCGGUUUCUUUAAGUCUGAUGUGAAAGCCCCCGGCUCAACCCGGGGAGGGUCAUGGGAAACUGGGAGACUUGAGUGCAGAAGAGGAGAGUGGAAUUCCAUGUGUAGCGGUGAAAUGCGUAGAUAUAUGGAGGAACACCAGUGGCGAAGGCGGCUCUCUGGUCUGUAACUGACGCUGAGGCUCGAAAGCGUGGGGAGCGAACAGGAUUAGAUACCCUGGUAGUCCACGCCGUAAACGAUGAGUGCUAAGUGUUGGAGGGUUUCCGCCCUUCAGUGCUGCAGCAAACGCAUUAAGCACUCCGCCUGGGGAGUACGACCGCAAGGUUGAAACUCAAAGGAAUUGACGGGGGCCCGCACAAGCGGUGGAGCAUGUGGUUUAAUUCGAAGCAACGCGAAGAACCUUACCAGGUCUUGACAUCCUUUGACCACUCUAGAGAUAGAGCUUCCCCUUCGGGGGCAAAGUGACAGGUGGUGCAUGGUUGUCGUCAGCUCGUGUCGUGAGAUGUUGGGUUAAGUCCCGCAACGAGCGCAACCCUUAUUGUUAGUUGCCAUCAUUUAGUUGGGCACUCUAGCGAGACUGCCGGUGACAAACCGGAGGAAGGUGGGGAUGACGUCAAAUCAUCAUGCCCCUUAUGACCUGGGCUACACACGUGCUACAAUGGGAAGUACAACGAGUUGCGAAGUCGCGAGGCUAAGCUAAUCUCUUAAAGCUUCUCUCAGUUCGGAUUGUAGGCUGCAACUCGCCUACAUGAAGCCGGAAUCGCUAGUAAUCGCGGAUCAGCACGCCGCGGUGAAUACGUUCCCGGGCCUUGUACACACCGCCCGUCACACCACGAGAGUUUGUAACACCCGAAGUCGGUGAGGUAACCUUUUGGAGCCAGCCGCCUAAGCGUGGAUCGGAUGUA